rnacentral:rRNA from 1 species
AUUGAACGCUGGCGGAAUGCUUUACACAUGCAAGUCGAGCGGCAGCACGGGGGCAACCCUGGUGGCGAGCGGCGAACGGGUGAGUAAUACAUCGGAACAUGCCCAGUCGUGGGGGAUAACACUUCGAAAGAAGUGCUAAUACCGCAUACGUCCUGAGGGAGAAAGCGGGGGAUCUUCGGACCUCGCGCGAUUGGAGUGGCCGAUGUCAGAUUAGCUAGUUGGUGGGGUAAAGGCCUACCAAGGCAACGAGCUGUAGCUGGUCUGAGAGGAUGAUCAGCCACGCUGGGACUGAGACGCGGCCCAGACUCCUACGGGAGGCAGCAGUGGGGAAUUUUGGACAAUGGGGGCAACCCUGAUCCAGCCAUUCCGCGUGAGUGAAGAAGGCCUUCGGGUUGUAAAGCUCUUUCGGCAGGAACGAAACGGCGAGCUCUAACAUAGCUUGCUAAUGACGGUACCUGAAGAAGAAGCACCGGCUAACUACGUGCCAGCAGCCGCCGUAAAAC